rnacentral:rRNA from 1 species
UACGGGGGGAGCAAGCGUUGUUCGGAUUUACUGGGCGUAAAGGGCGCGUAGGCGGCCCGCUAAGUCGAACGUGAAAUCCCCGAGCUCAACUCGGGAACUGCGUCCGAUACUGGCGGGCUUGAAUCCGGGAGAGGGAUGCGGAAUUCCUGGUGUAGCGGUGGAAUGCGCAGAUAUCAGGAGGAACACCGAUGGCGAAGGCAGAUCUCUGGGCCGUAACUGACGCUGAGGAGCGAAAGCGUGGGGAGCGAACAGG